rnacentral:rRNA from 1 species
AUUGAACGCUGGCGGCAGGCCUAACACAUGCAAGUCGAACGAGCGGCGGACGGGUGAGUAAUGUAUGGGGAUCUGCCCGAUAGAGGGGGAUAACUACUGGAAACGGUGGCUAAUACCGCAUACUAUCGGAUUAACCCCUAUGGGAUUAGCUAGUAGGUGGGGUAACGGCUCACCUAGGCGACGAUCUCUAGCUGGUCUGAGAGGAUGAUCAGCCAAACUGGAACUGAGACACGGCCCAGACUCCUACGGGAGGCAGCAGUGGGGAAUAUUGCGCAAUGGGAGCAAGCCUGAUGCAGCAAUGCCGCGUGUAUGAAGAAGGCCUUCGGGUUGUAAAGUACUUUCAGCGGGGAGGCGUUACCCGCAGAAGAAGCACCGGCUAACUCCGUGCCAGCAGCCGCGGUAAUUC